AAUCCGAGAAUUUCACCUCUGACAGCGAAAUACGAAUGCCCCCGACCGUCCCUAUUAGCCAUUACCAACAGGUCUACAGGCCAACAAGAUAGACCAUCGGUCAUGUCGUGUUAUCCCAUGCUAGUGUAUUCAGAGCGUACGCUUGCUUUGAACACUCUAUUUUACUCAAAGUAACCUUGGUAAGCCCUGUUCUCGGCGAGUAAACGCCGGGAUACAGCACUUACCAGAAAGACAGCCCACGACAGUACUCACUAAUGCGGACCGUCAGGGCUGCCCGAGGUUCAGCUACGGGCUUUUUAAUCGCAACAACUUACAUAUACGCUAUUGGAGCUGGAAUUACCGCAG
rnacentral:misc_RNA from 1 species